GUUGCUGAGGAACUCUCUGCAGCCUUUACUCUAGUUAAGGGCUGAACCCUGUAGUCUUAAUCUUUAAUUAGCUUUCCCUUGACCACUCUGCAAGGCUUACUACUGGAAGGCUUCUCCCUAGGGUGAUGAAGACACCUGCUUGAGAUUUCAGCUGUCUCACUGGGCGUAGACAUGAAGUGUUUACCAUCAAGAAGACAAAGAAGUUCGGUGACAUUUUUUACUUCAUUUCAGUUUGAGCUGGAAACUCCUCCUGUGCCUAGAGGAAGAAUUGCUUUCUGAAUGCAAAAGAAGAUUCAUUGCAACAUCUAUCACAAGGCAACUUCCUACCGAGCACCCACCUCAAAGCCUAACUCCUCAGGUCUCCCCAUUGUAAAUGAUGGGAAACAGGUACCAUCGGAAAAAGACACAAUCCAAGACCCUAAUGCAAGCACUCAGGACUGCUUUCUAAAAACAUUUUUCUCUCUCUUCAUUGACUAUAGAUAACAGCUUGGAAAAUGUGGCUAUAGUCUGGCAUUUACAGAAAGCUGGCUGGCUCAAUACACACUGGCAGUGUCAUCAACCAAUCGUGAUUACAGUGUUUAUAAUUGUAUUCUCCUUUUCCUCUUCUUGCUGGGCUUUUGAUUGCUGCAAGCAACCUCACUCUCAGUUUCUGCAUUGCAGCCUGAGUUUUCAAAACCAGAAGUUGCACUGAUAUAGGCAGUUCCCUGGAGCCUACAGCUUCACUUUGAUAACUGCUUUUUCUAACUGAAUGUUUUGCAUCUCAUGUGGGUGACUACCAUAUCAGCCUAAUACUGUCAAAUAGGAUUUUCCUCUGCUAGAAAGGAGGUUUCUUCCACCUUAUGGUCUUUAGUCAUAGGAGGAUUUCCUCCUCCUUCUCCCAGCCAGGAAGCAGUAAUAAUUCGCUGAGCUUUCCAGUGCUGGGCCAUGAAAUGGGCAACACCUUCAUACCUGGGGAAAAUGGGAAAAGGGAAAAUCUCAUCGGGUGUGCUUGAAGUCAUUUGGCUGUCUGAGGAAACAGUCUGGCUCCCCUUCAGUCACCCAGGCCAGCUGCCCCUGGGACGUUGUGGCAUGCAAACCAUUAGUUGUUUGUGCAUCAGACACCCAGCCUCUAAAAUCUUCAAGGCUCUUCGGGCAAAAUUUCUUCUCCGCUUUCUGGGAUUGCUUUGGUGGUAAUACAGAAUCUAUCGACCUUGCUUUUCUUGAAGUGACCUCAAAAAAAUUCUCUUGUCUUCACUUAUCAUCAGACAGUUUUUCCUCUGUGUCAGAGAAGACGAGCUACUAACUCACUUUUCUAGGUCCAACACAUAUACUCAAAGGCUCUGUGCAGCAACAACCCUACCACAGAGAGCAAGCCCAGUAUAUUGAGCAUUAGAGUGGUGCUAUUUGUGCACAUAUGUUCAGCUGGAAGGAUGCGUCUCCAAACCAUAUUUGGAUAGCUCUAUAUGAAGAUGUCUGCUGAAAUAUUUUUUUGUGUCUCUGGCCACAAAUUCUUUGGACUCGGCUUGUUAGACUUUCCACAAUUUGCUGCAUUCUCUUUCCGGACUAAAAGGAACUUGUUCUUGUACAGACCCUCUUGACAUGAUCCCUUCUUUCAAAAGACUGAUUACAUCGUCACUUUCUGUUUCUUUCCUGGCAACUGCAUCCUUCAUGAUCCAGAUCGCUGCCUCAUCCCAGCUGUUACCAAGGCCCUGUGACUUCUGCUGAUCUUGGUACCCCAUAUCAAUUGGUAA